AGCGAACGCUGGCGGCAUGCCUAACACAUGCAAGUCUGACGGGCGGGGCUUUCGGGCCUUGUCAGUGGCGGACGGGUGAGGAGCGCGUAGGAACGUAUCCAAGGGUGGGGGACAACCGCGGGAAACUGCGGCUAAUACCGCAUGGGGCCUCUAGGGAGACCUGAAAGGGGAGGACCUGGGGGCCAAAGGCUGGGGCAACCUAGUCGCCGGUGGAGCGGCCUGCGUCCGAUUAGCUAGUUGGUGGGGUGAGGCUUACCAAGGCAGCGAUCGGUAGCUGGUCUGAGAGGAUGAUCAGCCACACUGGGACUGAGACACGGCCCAGACUCCUACGGGAGGCAGCAGUGGGGAGUAUUGGACAAUGGGCGAAAGCCUGAUCCAGCAAUGCCGCGUGGGUGAAGAAGGU
rnacentral:rRNA from 1 species